rnacentral:rRNA from 1 species
AACGAACGCUGGCGGCAUGCCUAACACAUGCAAGUCGAACGAGACCUUCGGGUACAGUGGCGCACGGGUGCGUAACGCGUGGGAACCUUCCCUUAGGUUCGGAAUAACUUCCCGAAAGGGGUACUAAUACCGGAUAAUGUCUUCGGACCAAAGAUUUAUCGACUUGGGAUGGGCCCGCGUUGGAUUAGCUAGUUGGUAGGGUAAAAGCCUACCAAGGCGACGAUCCAUAGCUGGUCUGAGAGGAUGAUCAGCCACACUGGGAAUGAGACACGGCCCAGACUCCUACGGGAGGCAGAAGGGGGGAAUAUUGGACAAUGGGCGAAAGCCUGAUCCAGCAAUGCCGCGUGAGUGAUGAAGGCCUGAGGGUUGUAAAGCUCUGUUACCCGGGAUGAUAAUGACAGUACCGGGAGAAUAAGCUCCGGCUAACUCCGUG